ensembl:lncRNA
CUUAAUCCUCGUGGCCCGAAUUAGGAUAGGAUAACAGCAGCCGCGGCAACAACCAAUCAGAAGGCGCGAUGCAGAUAGCGGUUCUCAAGCCGCCAAUGGGCGGGCGAGGCUCGGAGUUGGGCUUAAGGUGUGAAUCUGUGGUGGCUUCAGAUGAUCUGAAUCCCAGCGUCUCCCACCCCCUCUUCGCAUUCCCAGCUCCACACGUUCCCAUCUCUGUUCCCGUGCCUGCCAUGAGCACUUGUGCUGCCUCUCGCUUCAGCAGCGAGGCAUUGCCAACAAGGCUUAUUUGGGCUGUACAGAGCCUGUUUUUAAAACCCACUGUGCUGGGCAUGAUGCAGUCCGCAUGCUCACAGGCUCCGCCAGGGGUUCAUUUAGCUGUCUUCAGACCUCACUUUCAGAUGCAAGAGCACUGGGCUUCGUCUC